rnacentral:rRNA from 1 species
AAAGUUAUAAUUUUAUAAAGCUGUUAUACGCUCUUAUAAAAAGAAUAAUACACCAACGAAAGUGACUUUAUUUAACAAGAACUUUUGAACUCACGAUAGUUAAGACACAAACUAGGAUUAGAUACCCUACUAUGCUUAACCUUAAAUAGAAUUACCCUAUUACUUUACCUUAAUCCGCCUGAGUACUACAAGCGCUAGCUUAAAACCCAAAGGACUUGGCGGUGCCUCAGACCCCCCUAGAGGAGCCUGUUCUAUAACCGAUAAUCCACGUUAAACCUUACCACUUCUUGCCUUUACCGCCUAUAUACCGCCGUCGUCAGCUCACCCCAUGAGGGUAUAAAAGUAAGCAUAAUGGACUUCUCCAAAACGUCAGGUCGAGGUGUAGCGAAUGAAGUGGAAAGAAAUGGGCUACAUUUUCUUUUAAGAAAAUACGGACAAUAAGAUGAAAAACUAUUUAUAAGGUGGAUUUAGUAGUAAGAAAAACUUAGGAUAUUUUUCUGAAAAUGGCUCUGAGGCGCGCACACACCGCCCGUCACUCUCCUCAAUUUCAAUCUUUUCCUUUUAUAAAUAGUCUUGUUUACAAGAGGAGGCAAGUCGUAA